UCUCUGCUAAGUCGGAAGACGAAGUAUAGGGGCUGACGCCUGCCCGGUGCUGGAAGGUUAGGGGAAGUGUGAGAGCACUGAACCGAAGCCCCAGUGAACGGCGGCCGUAACUAUAACGGUCCUAAGGUAGCGAAAUUCCUUGUCGGGUAAGUUCCGACCCGCACGAAAGGCGUAACGACUUGGGCGCUGUCUUGAUGAGGGGCCCGGUGAAAUUGUAGUACUCGUGAAGAUGCGAGUUACCCGCGAUUGGACAGAAAGACCCCGUGGAGCUUUACUGUAGCCUGUCACUGGAUUUUGGUAAUUCUUGUACAGGAUAGGUGGGAGACGGAGAAGGUAGGGCGCCAGCCUUACUGGAGUCGGCGUUGGGAUACCACCCUGGGAUUACCGGAAUUCUAACCUAUAGCCGUGGAACCGGCGUAGGGACAAUGGCAGGUGGGCAGUUUGACUGGGGCGGUCGCCUCCUAAAGGGUAACGGAGGCGCCCAAAGGUUACCUCAGCGCGGACGGGAAUCGCGCGAGAGAGUGCAAAGGCAGAAGGUAGCCUGACUGCGAGAGAGACAUCUCGAGCAGGGACGAAAGUCGGGCUUAGUGAUCCGGCGGCAGUGAGUGGGAACGCCGUCGCUCAACGGAUAAAAGCUACCCCGGGGAUAACAGGCUGAUCUCCCCCAAGAGUCCACAUCGACGGGGAGGUUUGGCACCUCGAUGUCGGCUCAUCGCAUCCUGGGGCUGAAGUAGGUCCCAAGGGUUGGGCUGUUCGCCCAUUAAAGCGGUACGCGAGCUGGGUUCAGAACGUCGUGAGACAGUUCGGUCCCUAUCCGUCGCGGGCGAAGGAAACUUGAGAGGCACUGCCCCUAGUACGAGAGGACCGGGGUGGACGAACCGAUGGUGUACCAGUUGCACCGCCAGGUGCACAGCUGGGUAGCCAAGUUCGGAGGGGAUAAACGCUGAAAGCAUCUAAGCGUGAAGCCCGCCUCAAGAUUAGGUUUCCCACCCGAGAGGGGUAAGACACCUCGAAGACCACGAGGUAGAUAGGCCGGGGGUGUAAGAGUGGAAACACUCUUAGCUGACCGGUACUAAUCAGUCGAGGACUUGACCG
rnacentral:rRNA from 1 species